rnacentral:rRNA from 1 species
UACGUAGGUGGCAAGCGUUGUCCGGAUUUACUGGGCGUAAAGCGCGCGCAGGCGGGUUGGUCAGUCUGGGGUGAAAUCUCACGGCUCAACCGUGAGGGGUCCCUGGAUACUGCCAGCCUUGAGGGGCUCAGAGGAGAGUGGAAUUCCGGGUGGAGCGGUGAAAUGCGUAGAGAUCCGGAGGAACACCGACGGCGUAGGCAGCGCCCUGGACGACACCUGACGCUGAGGCACGAAAGCGUGGGUAGCAAACAGG